rnacentral:rRNA from 1 species
CAGAGUUAUACAACUCCCACACCAUUUGUCAACUUUACUCAGUUAUGCCUCGGCGUGAACUGCGUACGGAGGCAGAGUGGUGCUACCCUGUAGCGCUACCCUGUAUCAACUCCCGCGCAGCCCGCCGGUGGUACACUAAACUCUUGUUUUAUUUUAUAUUCUGAGCGUAUUAUUUUAAUAAUUAAAACUUUCAACAACGGAUCUCUUGGUUCUGGCAUCGAUGAAGAACGCAGCGAAAUGCGAUAAGUAAUGUGAAUUGCAGAAUUCAGUGAAUCAUCGAAUCUUUGAACGCACAUUGCGCCCAUCAGUAUUCUGGUGGGCAUGCCUGUUCGAGCGUCAUUUCAACCCUUAAGCCUAGCUUAGUGUUGGGAAUCGACUGUAUUGUCGUUCCUUAAAGACAGUGGCGGAGCGAUAGUUGUCCUCUGAGCGUAGUAAAUUUAUUUCUCGCUUCUGUAAGGCUCUAUUCUCCCGCCAUAAAACCCCCAAUUUUUUAGUG